CUCUUUCUCUCUGUACGUGGAGAAGAGGAAAAGGAAAGGAAGAAAGAAAAGAGAGAAGAAGAAAAAAAAGAGAAGAAGAGGGAGAAGAAGGCUAGGAAGGAGAUCUUCCUCAUCUUCUUCAUCUCCUCCUUGGUUGGAGCUUCUUGGAGAGGUAAGCUUCAAAGCUCUCUCAUGGUAGAUCCUUAGAGAUGGGUUUUUGAUCUCUAGAAUUGGAUUUAGAGGAACCCUAGCAUGCUAUCUAGAUGGAUUAUACCCAAAUUGUGAAGGGAUUUGGGGGAUUUGGUAGUAAUG
rnacentral:lncRNA from 1 species